GAUGAACGCUGGCGGCGUGCCUAAUACAUGCAAGUCGAGCGAACAGACGAGGAGCUUGCUCCUCUGACGUUAGCGGCGGACGGGUGAGUAACACGUGGAUAACCUACCUAUAAGACUGGGAUAACUUCGGGAAACCGGAGCUAAUACCGGAUAAUAUAUUGAACCGCAUGGUUCAAUAGUGAAAGACGGUUUUGCUGUCACUUAUAGAUGGAUCCGCGCCGCAUUAGCUAGUUGGUAAGGUAACGGCUUACCAAGGCAACGAUGCGUAGCCGACCUGAGAGGGUGAUCAGCCACACUGGAACUGAGACACGGUCCAGACUCCUACGGGAGGCAGCAGUAGGGAAUCUUCCGCAAAGGGCGAAAGCCUGACGGAGCAACGCCGCGUGAGUGAUGAAGGUCUUCGGAUCGUAAAACUCUGUUAUUAGGGAAGAACAAAUGUGUAAGUAACUAUGCACGUCUUGACGGUACCUACUCAGAAAGCCACGGCUAACUACGUG
rnacentral:rRNA from 1 species